UCUUUGGGUGGCAAACCCAUAGGCGUAAUGAAAGUGAAUGCAGGUGGGAUCCCUUAGGGGUGCACCAUCGACCGAUCCGGAAUUUCUAGGAUGGAUUUGAGUACGAGCACAUAUGUUGGGACCCGAAAGAUGGUGAACUAUGCCUGAAUAGGGCGAAGCCAGAGGAAACUCUGGUGGAGGCUCGUAGCGAUUCUGACGUGCAAAUCGAUCGUCAAAUUUGGGUAUAGGGGCGAAAGACUAAUCGAACCAUCUAGUAGCUGGUUCCUGCCGAAGUUUCCCUCAGGAUAGCAGAAACUCGCAUCAGUUUUUGAGUAAGCAAUGAUUAGAGGUGGGAGUAACAUCUUAACUAUUCUCAAACUUAAUAUGUAAAGUCUUGCUUAAUUGAACGUGACAUCGAAUGAGAGUUCUAGUGGCAUUUUGUAAGCAAAUGGCGAUGCGGAUACGAUCGUGAGUUAAGGUGCGGAAUACACCUCAUCAGACACAAAAGUGUUAGCAAUCUAGACAGAGGACGUGGCAUGGAAUCGGAAUCCGUAAGGAGUGUUAAAACUCACCUGCGAAUGUAGCCUGAAAUGGAUGGCUUAAGCGUGUACCCAUACUCACGUAGUGUUUAGCGACGCGCUGACGGUAGCAGGGGAGUUUGGAAAGCUUAGGCAGUGAUCGAUGAACAGCUCUAGUGCAAUCUUGGUGUAGUAGCAAUAUUCAAUGGAACUGAAGACUGAAGUGAGAAGUUCCAUGUAAAGCAGUGGACAUGGGUUAGCCGAUCUAAGAUAGGGAAAUUCGUAUUAAAGUACAGCUUGUUCGUGUGCCUAUCGAAGGAAUCCGUUAGAUCGGAGCCAGAUGUGAUUUUGACGUAACGUAACUGAACUAGGAACGUCGGCGAAGCCUGGAAGUUAUUUUCUCUUAACAGCUAACCACCUUGAAAUGAUUAUCCGACUAAGUAUGCUGCAGGCCAACAUCUGUUGGUCGGUGGCUCUCGACGGCCUGAAAUCUAGGAACGAAUAAUUUUCACGCCUGUCGAUCAUAACCGCAGCAGUCUCAAGUGAACAGCUCUAGUUAUAGAAUAUGUAUAAGGGAAUCGGCAAAUUAGAUCCGUACUUCGGGAAAAGAUUGCUCUAAGGCUGGUACAUUGGGGUUGGUGGAAGAUGGCUUGCUUGGACUGUCUGUUUACGCGUGGACUAGCGAGACGCUUGGAUGCCUCCUUGUCCUUCGGAUGACUGGUACGUUAAGCGACUAACUGGUAGGACAAGGAAUCUGACUGUCUAAUUAAAAAUAGCAUGCGAUGGCAAAAUGUGUUGACGCAAUGUGAUUUUGCCAUGUCUGAAGUAAAUGAAGAAUUCAACCAAGCGCGGGAACGGCGGAGAACAUGAUCUCUUAAGGUAGCCAAUGCCUCGUAUCUAAUUAGUGACGCAGAAUGGAUUAACGAGAUCCAUGUCCCUAUCUACUAUCUAGCGAAACCACAGCCAGGAAGGGCUUGGAAAUCAGCGGGGAAAGAAGACCUUAGCUUGACUCUAGUUUGACAUUGUAAAGACAUAGAGGGUGUAGAAUAAGUGGAGCUUCGGCGCCGGUGAAAUACCACUACUUUAUGUCUUUUUACUUAUUAAUGAAGCGAGCUGGAUUUAACGAUCCACCUUUGGAGUUAAGUGCUUUAUGCGCUGAUCCGGUUGAAGACUGUCAGUGGGGAGUUUGGCUGGGGCGGCACAUCUGUAAACAAUAACGCAGUGUCCUAAGGGACUCAUGGAAACAGAAAUCUCAGUAGAACAAAAGGUAAAUCCCUUGAUUUUGAUUUUCAGUGUGAAUACAAACAUGAAAGUGUGGCCUAUCGAUCUUUAGUCCUCGGAGUUUGAGCUAGAGGUGCCAGAAAAGUUACCACAGGAUAACUGCUUGUGGCAGCCAAGCGUUCAUAGCGACGUUGCUUUUGAUCCUUCGAUGUCGGUCUUCCUAUCAUACCGAAGCAAAUCGGUAAGCGUUGGAUUGUUCACCCCUAAUAGGGAACGUGAGCUGGUUAGACCGUCGUGAGACAGGUAGUUUUACCCUACUGAUGGAGGGUUAUCGCAACAGUAAUCAUUAGUACGAGAGGAACGUUGAUUCAAAUAAUGGUAUUGCGCUGUCCGAUCGGCAAUGCGGCGAAGCUACCAUUUGCUGAUAAUGUGAACGCCUCUAAGCCAGAAUCUGCUGGAAGCGAUGAUGUUGGUCCCGCACAUGUUACGUGUGUUAGAAUAGAGUCUUUGACUCGUAUACCAUACUUUGUAGGUCCCGCAGGGCAGCGGAAAGGCUGUUCUGUGGUCUACGGAUUCCAAUUGAAAUAUGGGCGGGGUAAAUCCUUUGCAGACGACUUAAAUUGGAACGGAGUGCUGUAAGCAGUAGAGUAGCCUUGUUGCUACGAUCUGCUGAGGCUAAGCUCUUGCUUCUACAGAUUUGUUUGACCUUAUGGUCA
rnacentral:rRNA from 1 species